AUACGGAGGGUGCGAGCGUUAAGCGGAAUUACUGGGCGUAAAGGGUGCGUAGGCGGCUUGAUAAGUCGGAUGUGAAAGCCCCGGGCUUAACCUGGGAAUUGCAUUCGAUACUGUCAGGCUAGAGUAUGUCAGAGGUUGGCGGAAUUCCUGGUGUAGCGGUGAAAUGCGUAGAUAUCAGGAGGAACACCAGUGGCGAAGGCGGCUAACUGGGACAAUACUGACGCUGAGGCACGAAAGCGUGGGGAGCAAACAGGAUUAGAAACCCUAGUAGUCC
rnacentral:rRNA from 1 species